AGGACGAACGCUUGCGGCGUGCCUAAGAAAUGCAAGUCGAACGGGGGCUUCGGCCCUAGUGGCGAACGGUCGCGUAACACGUGGGCAACCUGCCCUGAAGCGGGGGAUAACAUUCCGAAAGGAGUGCUAAUACCGCAUGUGGACUGAUGAUGCAUGUUAUCAGUCUAAAGGAUUUAUCCACUUCAGGAUGGGCCCCGCGGCCUAUCAGCUAGUUGGUGGGGUAACGGCCUACCAAGGCUACGACGGGUAGCUGGUCUGAGAGGACGGCCAGCCGGAUUGGGACUGAGAUACGGCCCAGACUCCUACGGGGGGCAGCAGUCAGGAAUAUUGCGCAAUGGAGGAAACUCUGACGCAGCGACGCCGCGUGGGGGAUGAAGCUUCUCGGAGUGUAAACCCCUUUCGACCCGGAAGAAUGCCCGCAAGGGUAUGACGGUACGGGUAUAAGAAGCCCCGGCUAACUACGUGCCAGCAGCCGC
rnacentral:rRNA from 1 species